UCUUUCUACUGACUUCUCUAUGAGAGGCUGGAGAAUCAGCUCAAGAAGUUUUGAAGGAUUUCAGAGGCCCUGAAAACCUCUCAGCGACAUGGGCGUUCCUGGAGUGCCUGUGCCCUAGGUCCCGAACAUCUACUUCCACUGGGCCUGCCUGGUUAUUUUUGAGCAAUAGCUAACCCCCCGCCCCCCGCCUCAGGCAGAGACUAGCUGAAAUUUCCUUUGUAGAAUGCUUGUGUCACAGUGUAUGCUAUCUCACCUUGUCACUGCACCUCCACACCAACCUUUGAGAGAGGUUCUAACCACUCAGGUAGUAGGCUAGUUGCAGGCUGCAGGCCAGGGAACAAUCUUCCACACUGUUAAACACCUGGCUUUCCACUGUACCGCCACACCAUUGUAUGGGACCAGCUUCUAGGUUCCCUCAGGUGUGAGUGCUCAUUGAAGGGUAUGUCUGGGAAGGCUUAGCUUCAAAGGGAAGCAGACCACCUACCUACUGCCCGAAAGCAACCUUUCAAGAGGGGGUCUACUUACUAUUUAAAGAGGCUAGUGGAAACCUACAUGCAAGGAUCUGUGGCUUCCCAGAGGCCCUAUAGCAGAUAUUUACCAGGUCUCCAAAACUGCUGUAGAUAUAGGUUUAAACUCCCUUGAUGUAGAGGCUAGCCGGCUAGGAAGGCCUGAGUCACAGAAUUAAUGCCAGGUCAUUUCCAAUUCGUCUCCACAGCUGCUAGGAAGGUAAGGUCUAAAUUGCCUAUGUGAGAGAUCUAAUGCAGAGCUUCCCUCAGAGAAAGCUUUGUCCUCAGCGAUAAGUAGACCGCUUUCCCUUUGCACUGCCACCACUGCUGAGACAUAUGAUUUAAACUCCCUGAUGUGAGAAGCUUGUCAGAGGGACAUUUCAGGAAGGCCAAUGUCCUCUAAAAGUGUACAGCACCUUACAGGGCCCCCCCAAACUGACUGAGGAGCUAGGUUCUAAAGCCCUUCAUUGACAGACCAGUGGAUAGCUGACCUUAAGGUAAGCUUCUGCUUAGGGUCCAGCACAGGGAGGUCCAUUGGACCGCCAGCCUAUUGUUGAGCUAGGGCCUGCCACUUACAUUUCAGAGGCUAGCUGAAAGUUUCCCUCGUAGAACACGUGUUUCUCAGAGUACACUAUGUCUCGUUGUCAUUUCACCACCACAUCAACUGUUGAGGGUUGUUCUAACUCACUCUGAUGAUAGACUAGUUGCAAACUGCAGGCCAGGAAAGCUUCUUUCUAGUGUUAAGUACCUGGCCUUUCCACUGCGCCAACACACCAACACACCAACGAGUGGAGUUAGCUGCUAACAUCCCUCAGAUGUGAGGGCUCAUUGAAGGGUAACUCUGGGUAGGCCUAUCUUACAAAGUGAAGCGGACCACCUUUCCACUGCACAUAGGCUGGGGGGAGAGUGGUCUAUCUUCUUUUUGAAGAAGUUAGUGAAAACCUGCAUUCAAGGAUCUGUGGAAUUCUAGUAAGCAGAAGGUCAGGAGAAUUGCUUUCUCAGUAAAAAUUACCUGACCUCUCCACUAGCCCUCCACCAUUAGGCUGGAGCUAGCUAAACUCCCUCAGCUGUGAGGGCAUAUGGAAAUGUGACCUAAGGGAGGGCCUGGUUCUCAGACUGAAUCCCAGACUUGCCACUGCCCAGGCUCAUCUGCUGGGCUGGGAGGGUUGACUUACCUCACACAAUGGGCCAGGGGAGAGCUGCACUCAAGGAACUGUGGUGUCCCAGAGAACCUACAGCUCUUUGGACCACACUCCAAACCUUCUGGGGAGACAGGUUUGAACUUCCAUCAUUGAGAAGCUAGCCUUCUGGAAGGCCGGAGCUUCAGAACUCAGGCCAGCUCAUUUCCAUUGGGCCCUACAGCUGCUGGGUAGGUAGAUUCUCACAGGCCUCUGAGAGAAGCCUAGUGGUGAGCUUAGGCAGGGAGAGCUUUGCCCUCAGAGGAAUGUAGCCUGCUUUCACUUGGCACCACCACCACUGCUAAUACCCACCUUCCAACUCCCUGAGGUGAGAAGCUAGUUGCAAGGGGCCCUCCAGGAAGGCCUAUGUCACCUAGAGGUGAAAGGGCCUUCGAAACUCCUCCAAAAUUCCUGAGGAGCUGGCUUCCAAAGCCAUUCCUUGUGAGGCCAGUGGAAUGCUGCCCACAGGGACUCUUGGGCCCAGGUUCAUGACAGCGAGUUCCAUUGGGUCUCCAGCCUAAGGUGCAGCCAGUGCAUACCUCUGACCUGGGAGGAGUAGCUGAAAGUUUCAUUCAAGGAACACUAGUUUCUCAGCAUUCAGUAGGUUCUAUGGUCUUUCAUCUGUAAAACAAAUGUGGACAGGGUGUGCUAACUCACCCCGGUGUCAGACUCCUUGUAAGCAGAAGGCCAGGUAAAGCUGCUUUCUCAGUGAAAAGUACCUGGCCUCUCCACUGGUCCUCCACCACCAAGGCUGGAGCUAGCUGCUAAACUCCCCCAGCUGUGAGGGCUCGUUGAAAGGUUCCAUCAGGGAGGGAUUCGUUCUCAGACGAAAGCCCAUAGCCUUGUACUGUACAGACUUGUCUGUUGGGGUAAGAGGUUAAGCUUUCCUCACAGAAGGGAGGGCUUGGUUCUCAGAGGAAAGCCCACAGACUUGUACCGCACAGACUCGUCUGCUGGGGUAAGAUUAAAUUUUCCUCAUGGAAGGGGCCAAUGGAGAGCUGCACUCAAGGAACUGUGGUGUCCCAGAGGCCUUAUGGCGCUUUUGUACUGCCUCUCCAAAUAUUCUAGGGAGACACCUUUGAACUCCCACCAUGAGAAGCUAGCAUUCUGGUAAGGUCUGAGCCUCAGACUCAAGCCCGAUCAUUUCCACUGCUCCUCCACAGCUGCCGGGUAGGAAGGGUCUCAGAGGCCUCUGAGAGAGGCCUAGUAGUGAGCUUAGUCAGGGAGAGCUUUGUCUUCACAUGGGUGUAGCCUGCUUUCACUUGGUGUUGCCACAACUGCUGAGACCCAUGUUCUAACACUCCUUCUCAGGAGUGCCCUGAGAAGCUAGUCGUAAGGGGCACUCCAGGAAGACCUAUGCCCUCUAGAGGUGAACAGGGCCUUCCAAAGCCCCUCCAAACUUCCUGAGGAGCUGGCUUCUCAAGCACAUCAAGCAGUGAAAAGCUACCUUCUAGGGACCCUUAGGCCCAGGGUUCAGGACAGUGAGUUCCAUUGGGUCUCCAGCCUAAGGUGGAGCCAGGGCAUACUUCCCACAUGGAAGGUAUUAGCUGAUUGUUUCACUCAAGGAACGCUAGUUCCUCAGUGUUCAGUAGGUCAUGUGGCCUUUUCACCUCCAUAACAACUGUGGAGAGGAUGUGCUAACUCACCCCAGGUGUCAGACUCCUUGUAAGCUAAAGGCCAGGAAAGCAGCUUUCUCAGUGAAAAGUACCCGGCAUAUCCACUUUCCCUCCACCAACAGGGCUGGAGCUAGUUGCUAACAUCCCUCAGCUGUGAGGUCUCGAAAGGUUCCAUCAGGGCAGGCUGGAUCUCAGACUAACCCAACAGCCUUGCCACUGCCCAGGCUUGGCUGCUGGGCUAAGAUGUUUGACUUUCCAAACAGAUGUGACUAGUGGAGAGCUGCACUCCAGGAACUGUGGUGUCCCAUGGGUCCUACAGCACUUCUGUACCGUCCCUCCAAAACUUCUGGGGAGACACAUUUGAACUCCCUUCAUUGAGAAGCUAGCCUUCUGGAAGGCCUGAGCUUCAGAACUUAGGCCAGCUCAUUUCCAUUGUGACCUCACAGCUGCUGGUUAGGCAGGGUCUCAGACACCUCUGAGAUGUCUGUUGGUAAGCUUAGUCAGGAAGAGCUUUUUCCUCAGAGGAAUGUAGCCUGGUUUUUCUUGGCACUGCCACCACUGCUGCUGCCCAUGUUCCAACUCCCUGAGGUGAAAAGCUAGUCGCAAGGUGCACGUAGGCCUAUGUCCCCUAGAGGUAAACAGGGCUUUCCAAGGCCCCUCCACACUUCCUGAGGAGCUGGCUUCUGAAGCCCCUCCUGGAGAGACCAGUCAAAAACUGCCCCCAUGGGACCCUGGGACCCAAGGUUCAGGACAGCAAGUUCCUUUGGGUCUACAUCCUAAGGAGGAGCCAGGGCAUACCUCCCACCUGGGAGAGGCUAGGUGAAAGUUUCAUUCAAGGAAUGCUAGUUCCUCAGCGUUUAUUAGAUCACACGGUCUUUUCACAUCCACCACAACUGUGGAGAGUGUGUGCUAACUCACCCCGGUGACAGACUCACUGUAGGCAGAAGGCCAGGAAAGAUACUUUCUCAGUAAAAAGUACCUGGCCUCUCCACUUGCCCUCCACCACCAAGGGUGGAGCUAGCUGCUGAACUCCCUCAGCUGUGAGGGCUGUUUAUAUUCCCUCAGGGAGAGAUUGGUUCUCAGACUGAAGCCCACAACCUUGGCACUGCCCAGGCUCACCAGGUGGGCUGAAAAGUUCAACUUUCCUCAUGGAAGGGGCCAGUGGAGAGCUGCACUCAAGGAACUGUGGUUUCUCAGAGGCCUGCCAGCGCUUUUUGAAUGUGCUCCACACCUUCCAGGCUGCUGGGGAGGCAAGGUCUCACAGGCCUCUGGAAGAACCCUACUGUGGUGAGCUUAGGGAAAAUAUGUCCACAAAGGAAAGUAGCCUACUUACCCUUGGUGCCGCCAACACUGAUGAGACCCAUGUUCCAACUCCCUGAGGUGAGAGGCUAGUCGCAAGGUCCACUCCAGGGAGGCCUAUGUCCCCUAGAGGUGGAUAGGGACUUCCAGGGCCCCUCCAAACUUGCUGAGGUUCUAGCUUCUCAAGCCCUUACUGGAGAGGCCAGUGGAAACCUACCCUCAUGUGACCCAUCGGCCCAGGGUUUAGGGAACCGAGUUCCUUUGUGUCUCCAGCCUAAGGUGGAGCCAAGGAAUACCUCCCACUUGGGAGAUGCUUAGCUGAAAGUUUCAUUCACGGAAUGCUAGUUCCUCAGAAUUCAGUAGGUUGCAUGGUCUUUUCACCUCCACAACAACUGUGGAGAAGGUGGGCUAACUCACCCGGUGACAUUCUCCUUGUAAGCUGAAGGCCAGGAAAACUGCUUUUUUCAGUGAAUAGUACCUGGCCUCUCCACUGGCCCUCCACCACCAAGGCUGGAGCUAGCUGUAAAAACCCUCAGCUGUGAGGGCUCAUUGAAAUGUUCCAUCAGGGAGAGUUGGGUUCUGAGACUGAAGCCCACAGCCUUGCACUACCUGGAUUCCUCUGCUCUUGGCAAGAUGUUUGACUUUCCACUCACAAGGGGCCAUGGGAGAGCUGCACUCAAGGAACUGUAGUGUCCCAAAGGCCCUACAGUGCUUUUGGGGAGACAGCUGCUAGGUAGGCAAUGUCUCAAAGGACUCUGAGAAAGGCCUAGUGGUGAUUUUAGUGAUGGAGAGCUUUGUCCUCAUGGAAAGUAGCCUGCUUCUCUUGGUGCCACCACCACUGCUGAGACCAUAUUCCAACUCCUUGAGGUGAGAAGCUAGUGACAAGGGGCUCUCCAGGAAGGCCUAUGUCCCCUAGAGGUUGACAGUGCCUUCCAAGGCCCCUACAAACUUCCUGAGGUAUGGCUUUUCAAGCCCUUACUGGAGAGGCCAGUGGAAAGCUGCCCUCAUGGGACCCUUGGUGCCAGGGUUCAGGACUGUGAGUUUUAUUGGGCCUCCAGCCUAAUGUGGAGCCAGGUCCUACCUCCCAUGUGGGUGAGGCUAGCUGAAAGUUUCAUUCAAGGAAUGCUAGUUCCUCAGUGUUUAGUAUGUUGCCCUGUCACUGCACCCCCACACCAACUUUUGAGAGACUGUCUAACUCACUACAGUCAUAGGUGUUUGAAAGCUGCAGGCCAGGAAAUCUCUUUCAGUGUGAAGUAGCUGGCAUUUUACUCUCUGUUUGUUUGUUUUUUACAGAUUUAACCUUUUUUUCCCCAUAUAUAAAUGAUAUAAUUCAGUACUUGUAUUAUUCUGUCUUGCUUCCCUCGCUUAGCAUAUGUGUUCAAAGUCUACCGGUGUUGUCACAAAUGGAAGGGUAGCCUCCUUUUUCAUGGCUGAACUAUAUUCCAUUGUAUAUGUGUACCAUUAAUGAACAUUUAGAUUAUUUCUAUAUAUUAGCUAUUCUGAAUAAUGGUACAAUAAGCAUGGGAGUGCUUAUACAUUCUCAAAAUCCCGUUUUCAUUUCCAUUGGGUAUAUAUCAUGAAGUGGAAUUAUUGCUUAGUAUAGUAGAUCUAUUUUUAAUUCUUUGAGGAACCUCCAUAGUAUUGUUUUCCAUGGUGGUGGACCAAUUUGCAUUCGUACUAACAAUGUGUAAGGUUUCCCUUCUUAUCAUAUCCUCAUCAGCACUGUUGUCUCUUAUCUUCUUGAUGGUAACCAUUCUGACACAUUUGAAGUAAUAUCUCACUGUGGCUUUGAUUUGCAUUUUUCUGAUAAUUAACAAUGAACAUCUUUUCAUGUGUCUGUUGACCAUCCCUAUAUCUUCUCUGGAAAAUCUUUUCUCUGGAAAAAUGUCUAUUUAGAAGGGGUUCUUUUAGCUCAUUUUUAAAUUAAAUUGUUUAAUUUUUAUUAAGAUGACUGAGUUCUUUCUAUAUUUUGGAUAUUAACCAUUUAUUCAAUAUAUGGUAUGCAAAAUUUUUCUACCAUUCUUGGGUUGUCUUUUUAUUUUGUCCAUUUAUUUUAUUUUAUUUAUUUUUAUACAUAUAUUUUUGCUGUCCAGAGGCUUUUGAGUUUGAU